UUUUCCUGUCCUUGAACCUCCGACUUUACUAGGUCUUUUUAUCAUGAUUUUACAAAUGAAUUGUUUGUCUGCAUACAAUUAUAAUAUGACAAGCUUUGAUUCUAGAAAAUAGUUGCAAUACAAUAGAAUAUCAUGCAAACUCAUCGACCAAUAAAUGUAGUUAGUGUCACCUCAUUAGUAGAAGACUUUGUCCCAGUACUAGAGUAGUCUGUGUCAAUUUCUAUUUUCCGCACCGAAAAUGUAGGUUGUUUUGGGGAAGGAACAGAUGUUUCAUUGCUUAACAUAAAGACAACUGUUGACAUGCUUGGCCGGUCUGUUGUUCUGUCCUGCACACACAAGAGUCCUACUUGAAUGCAUCGCAAAGCUUCAGGAGCAGGGCAUGAAUCAGCCAUAGAUGAGUCAACUAUCUCCAGGGCCUUGUCGUCACUCCAGAGUUCCCAUACCUUUGUGCAUGAUUUAAGUACAUAAGACAUCAAUAAACAGAUGAACAAACUUCAUCUGAAAGAAUCAAUUGCUCAUGAAAGAGGAAAGGAAGACUGUAAUCAAAUCAAUAAAAAGUAUUAUCUACUGCAAAGGCAAUGUCAAGAACAUUUAACUUACAUAUCUUAUCAGAUUUGAGGAAUCAUCAUUAAAAAUUCCAGUGUUCUUCUUGCCAGUUAUAAUCUCCAAUAAUAGGACUCCAAAACUGAAGACAUCUGAUUUCGUAGAGAAUAGGCCACCCAGUGCAUACUCUGGUGACAUAUAGCCACUGCAUGCCAAAGAAAUUGUUUUUAUCUUAGUCAUAAUCUCUUUGCAUCUUAAGUUACAAUAGAUUACAAGAAGUAAAAUAACAUCUUAUGUUUGCUUACUACGUUCCAACCACCCUAUUUGUAUUUGUUGAUAUCUCCUCUCCUCCAAAUACUCUAGCUGUACCAAAAUCUGAGAUUCUAGGGUUCAUCUCUUCAUCUAGAAGAAUAUUACUAGCUUUCAAGUCUCGAUGGAUAAUUCUUAACCUUGAAUCUUGAUGUAGAUAUAGGACCCCUCGAGCUAUCCCUAAAAUUAUAUCGAAGCGCUUUUUCCAAUCCAACAAUUGCUUCCUUGAUUCAUCUGCUUCAAUUCACAUUUUAUCAUAUUUGUUACAACAGGAAGGCAACAAAUUAAGUAGAUAUCAGGUGCAUAGUUAAGGAGUCAUACCAAAAAUAAAGUAGUCCAAGCUUUUGUUAGGCAUGAACUCAUAGAUUAACAUCUUUUCAUCUUUUUCCAAACAACAACCCAAGAGCUUUACAAGAUUUCUGUGUUGAAGUUUUGCUAUCAAUAAGACCUCAUUUUUGAAUUCCUCAAUUCCUUGUCCUGAUGUUGUUGAUAACCUUUUGACAGCUAUCUCCUGUCCAUUCGCUAGCUUACCCUGAAAUUUGCAAUAUUCAGAUGCCAAUUAUAUCAGUCUAAACAAAUAACUUCAGCAUGUGCUUGCUCUUACUGGCAAGCUUUCGUUCAGGUCACCUAUCAUACAAUUACAACUGAAGGUUUUAAAAUUAGUGGAACGACUGUAAGACAGUGUUCACCCCAAAAGUAAUAUAUUCUAACUAAAAGAAAAAAAAAAAAUUAUUAUGUCACUUCAUGUAAGGGAGAUUACCUUGUAAACUGGACCAAAUCCCCCUUGUCCAAGCUUAUUAGAAGUGGAAAAAUUAUCUGUCGCUGCUAGCACAGUGCUUAGUUCAAAGAAUGUCACAUCUACAUUCCCAGUGUCUUUGUUGCGUUUAGCACUAGUAGAGGCCUCACGAUCAGACAAUCUUGUGCUUGAAUUCAAAAAUAACAAUUCACGUCGCCUUUGUCUUUGCCUCUCACCUAGAUGAGAUAAGGCAUUUACACAUCCAGAAGAAACAGUAACGAAUCAACAUUAAUGUUGUAAACUGUCAGGCUGAUGUUCUAUUUUGGUUUAUUAGUAACAGUGGGAUUCAAAAGUAACUUAAGAACCUUAAAACAUAUCGAGUCAGUCAACAUAGAUUACAGUCAUACCACUUUCAGAAUCUUGCAUUAUGUCUUGAUAAUAACAAGGUCCACAAUAUUCUGCAGACCAUUUAAUUUUGGGUAUAAUUCUAAUAGAUUUAUAAUCUUCUCUAUAACAAUAGUAUAAAAUCGAGUGCCUUGCACUACUAUAAAUGGUGACGUUAAUGGUAUAAUUGUUUGGUUUUUGAUUACCUAUCCUUGUAUCAAGCCUUCUCCACAGGAAAAAGUAGCAUAAGCCCAGCAGAAGCACUCCGAGAACAAUAGCGACGAUAAUAAGAGCAAGCCUCCUCUUUCUUGCUCGAUUGCUUUUUGAGUUUUUCUGUGCCUCUGCAGCUGCAAAAAUAGACUUGUCAUUCAGACAUGAUAGGUUCAGCCAUGCAUUAACCAACGGCAAAGUUCAGCCUAGGUAGCUACGAAUAAACAAAACAAGAAAUUGGGAUGAACAAGUUUCCCAGUAAAUAAUUUUCAAUUGGUUUACUGAGAAUCUCAGUCUAACAUUGAACCCAUUCUCCAAUCAAUUAGAUGACUGAAUCGAAUUUUUUUUUUAAAGUUAUUUCUUGAGGAGUAAGCUUUCAACAAGAAUUUUAGAAUCUUCUUCUUAUGACUAUGAACAAAUUACAGUGUCCAUCUUCCGAGGUGGUUAAUCAAGCAUCGAGGCCUAAUAAAACAAAAAGAAAUUGGGUGAGAAUAGACACUUUACCUAAUUCAGCCGCGUCAGCACGUACAAAUAAGUCUUGACCAGCAUUUGUGUAUGUUCGUGUAUCAUUCAAAUCUCCGUGAUAUAUCAAGCAACCAAUCCCUCCAUUAGUCUCAGCAUACGCACUUGCGUAAGCCACGCACGAACAAUUACCCAAGCACUUCUCCUCGCAUGCUUUCAGUCCCAAAUUCAUGUCCACAUGUGCUGCAACCGAAGUAUCCGGCACCUUCACAAGUGUUAACUUUAUGAAGCCUUCCCCUUUCUGACACGUGGACGUCCCCAGUUUCCUCUUGCAUCCACCUGACCCAUCUCUCAAGGACCAUUCUUUCGGAUACUUGGGUUCGAACCCGGGCAGGCAGGUGCACUCAAACUCAUCUGCAUGAUACGGGCUGCAAUUACUAUUUGGCCCGCAAUGCCCGUAAUAGUCACACUGCUCCUUGGGGGCGGUCCAGAACCCGAUCCAUCUGCGAUCCUGACUACUCCAGGUAAAACGUUGCUCAAAUCCGGUCUCAUUCACUACCAUUCUUGAUAAUAUAGAGGGGUUAUUUAGACUAUAAUAUACGAAUACUUCAUCUUGAUUGUCCAUGUAGGUAAUAUUGAAGAUGAAAUUUCUGGUCAUUUCGGGCACACCGCUCAACCUUUGGCCCGUCCAAGAUCCGGCCCGCCACCACUUGACAUCACUUUUGUAUAAUGACACUUGAGAAAAUCCAGCAAGGUCCAUCUUGAAAGAACAGUUUCCGCUUCCAGGGUCGUCCGGGGAUUUCCAAGCUGUUAAGUACCUGUUAAAACCGGUUCGUUUGUCCCAUCCAAGUCUCAUAUUUGGAAGCAGAGUAUCCGUAGGAUGAUCAAAACUUUGCCACAGCGUUUCUCCGGUGUCAUUUCGAACUAAAACAAGAUUUCCCGAGUCUAAAAGCUGAGCCACACUGUUGCCCGUUGACGCGUCCGAAAUAUUUGCCUGCCAGACGGGAACCGUACUUUGGUUGCUUUCGUACAGUACAAGGUUUCCUUUAAUGUUGACUGAGAGGACCCCAAAUGUACCGUUGAUAGGAUUGUCUCUGUUUGCGACCCAGACAAGUGUUUGCUCGGAAAUUUGAUUGUACCAUAUUCCGACGUAUCGUUUUACAGAGUUUCCUGGACUGAAAAAUCCAAGCGCAUAGAAUUUUCUGCUCGAGACUAUAACAUCACCAUCUCUGAUGGGCUGGCUUAAUGAUAUGGUGUCAAUGGAAGUGGAGAUUUGAGAAAAUUGGAAGAAAAGUAAGGUGUUCAGCAACAGUUUUGCGGGAUUCAUGGUUUUUGAUUUCUUUGACUUUGAUGAUGAGAAAGAUAAAUGCAAUAGAGGUUGCUGAGGAUUUAGGUGGUAAAUCUAGUUGAGAUACAUUAAAUGAAAGUGGGACUACUUUUUACUAUACAUUAAAUUAUAUGAUGUGGCCGUGGCAACAAUUAUUAACCUCUAUAUAUUCAAAUUAAUAAAUAAACCGUGAUAGAGACUUAUUUUAUAAUCAUAUGGCCUCAAAAUAUCUACUCAGUUAGAGGACUGAUCAGUCGUACCUAAAUCGAUUUUGACUAGUUCUCAUAGUCGUAUGUAUGAGUAUGACUAACUUAUCAGUUAAUAGUUCCAAAAUAUUUAUGUUUUACUUUGUAGUAGGAGAAACUACCAUGAACGGAAAGACUUUGAAAGAUGAUGUACAAGUGAAUUAAAUCAAUCAAUAUUUCCUCUCGAAGUAUGCUCUUUCAAAGUUAAAGUUGACCCCGCUUUCAUACGUCUGAACCCGCCUGUAAAACGGUUUUAUUAAGAGAAAUCAUCGGCCUUAUAUAUUACAAGUUUUCACAUACCAAGUCGCCAACUUCAGCCUCAUGCUUGCUUGAAUGCAUUCAGUAUAAGAAUUGGUUUAACUUCUAUAUUCAAAUGAUCAGAUAAAAGUGUAUGGAAGAACUUGAUCUCUUUCAUCAAGUAAAAGAUUUAGAUGAAGUUCCUUCUCCCAUGUUUGCUUUGAUUCUUUCAAAUUCCUAGAGAUUGUACUAUAUAACUUAGUAUGCACUUCCUAUUCACCAGUUCUAUGUUAUCAUAGCAUCAAGCCAUCAAGUUAGGACUUGGUCAUCUAUAUUAUGUUUAUUUCUAGAGGAACUGAUAAAUUGAAAUAUUACUAAUGGCAAAUGAAAGAUACAACAUCAUUCUGUUUGAGUUGGUAUAUGCAGUUUUACUAUUUUGACCAUAUAAACUACCUCUAACUUCAAGAGCAAGUAAUCUCGAAAUUAUCACGAUUCUGCUCCUCAUUACCACCGACACAUAUAAUAAUCAUACUUGUGAGAGGAACGUUUUCAAGGAUUUUUUGUUUGGGCCGUCAUUUUCGUUCUUUUUCUUUAUUUGGCGCUCUUUUAGGCCGGUGUCCCAUUGUCACAGCAAAGAGAAACGAAUACACAAUCAGAUUGCAGGUUGCAGCUUAGAAUACAAACCAUAGAACAAUUCAAUUGGUUUUACCUGUCCGUUAACCUAGAAGUCUGAUUAGCGUCGUUUUAUUGUAUAGAUUGUUUUCUCAUUUUGCAAAUGAUUGUAAGUUUAAUGUAAGCUAAAAACAAUGUAACUGCAAUUCGCGCAAAUUCAUCGAGCAUUAAGUUUACCUACUGUCACCUCAUUAACAGAAGACUUGGUUUCCGCAGUAGUUGAGUCCAUCUUUCAACUUUCCUCACUGCAAAUGUAGGUUGUUUAGGAGAAGGAAGAGAUGUUUCGUUGCUUAACAUAAAACAACAGUGGACAUGCUUGGCCUGUCUGUUGUUCUGUUUUGCACACACAACAGACAUACUUGAAUGCACCGCAGAGCUUCAGGAGUAGGGAAUGAAUUAGCCAAGGAUGGGUCAACUAUCUCUGAGGUCUUAUUAUCUCUCCAGAGUUGCCACGCCUUGAUCCAUGAAAUUAGAAUAUAAAACAUUAAAAGAAAAAGAAAAGUCAAACUAAAUGCUAGGACAUUUAGAUCUAUAAAUGUUUGAACUCUAUUGGCUUUUCCUAUCCUUGAACCUCUGACUUUACUAAGUCUUAUUAUCAUGAUUUUAUAAAUGAAUUGUUUGUCUGCAUACAAUUUUCAUAUUACAAGCUUUGAUUCUAAAAAAUGGUUGCAGUACAAUAGAACACCAUGUAAACUCAUCGAGCAUUAAGUGUAGUUACUGUCACCUCAUUAACAGAAGUCUUUAUCCCAGAACUAGAGUUGUCUGUGUCAAUUUCAGUUCUCCGCACUGAAAAUGUAGGUUGUUUUGGGGAAGGAACAAAUGUUUCAUUGCUUAACAUAAAGACAACCGUUGACAUGCUUGGCCGGUCUGUUGUUCUGUCUUGCACACACAAGAGUCCUACUUGAAUGCAUCGCAAAGCUUCGGAAGCAAGACAUGAAUUAGCCAUGGACGAGUCAACUAUCUCCAGGGCCUUGUUAUCACUCCAGAGUUCCCAUGCCUUUGUG
rnacentral:lncRNA from 1 species